GGCUCAGAACGAACGCUGGCGGCGUGCUUAACACAUGCAAGUCGAACGAACCUUCGGGUUAGUGGCGGACGGGUGAGUAACGCGUGAGAAUCUGCCCUCAGGAGGGGGAUAACGGUUGGAAACGACCGCUAAUACCCCAUAUGCCGAGAGGUGAAAAGAAAUUCGCCUGAGGAUGAGCUCGCGUCUGAUUAGCUAGUUGGUGUGGUAAUGGCGCACGAAAGAUUCGAUCAGUAGCUGGUCUGAGAGGAUGAUCAGCCACAUCCUACCUCAGACACAGACCAGACUCCUACGGGAGUCAGNAGUG
rnacentral:rRNA from 1 species